UGCUAUUUACCUCCCGAUAGACAUGCUGCACCACCAUUGCAGCUGAGAGGUAAAGUAUAGUCCAAAUGUCAAAGAGAAGACGAGGGACUUCUAGCUACCUCCUGUUAUCAUGGAUCCAUCCAAUGAUAGUGGCAGAGUCAUCCUCGAUAAAGAUCCCAUCCAAGCUCCUGUUUGGCAAAGAUGAUGCUCGUUCGGAUAGCAUAAAGCUCAACUCCCAAAAUUGAAGGCUU
rnacentral:lncRNA from 1 species